AGAUAUUUAGAGGCAGACCGGGUUUUUUUUAUUUAGCAAUAGGUUUCGCACCGGUUUGGUUAGAACCGGUGCGGAAACUCUAUUUCCCAAUCUCGCCUAUUUUUUUUAGCACCGGUUUUCAAAAACCGGUGCAGAUUGUGCGGUGCCUAUUUCAUUUUUUCUACUAGUGUUGGCAAAGUAGCUAUAGUAUGAAAGGCUCUAUUACCUCCAUGGACAUUUGUCAUGAUCUGUGCUUCUUGCAAAAAGAAAGGAACAAAUCAAAGUCUACAAGGGGCUCAUACUUUCACCUGCUUGGAUAAUCCACCUAGGAUUCUGAUAAUGGAAGAGGCAACCUAGAUUAGUUUUCCAUUUAACGUAUCACAAAGAGUGUUAAGGAAACUGAUGUUUAAAACAAUAAGCAACCAGGGGCAAGCCAAAAACAAUGCGUACCAUUUUCUAGACAAAAUUUACUAGUAUCAUGUUUGAUUAUGUAUUGCAGGACAGGGUGGAGAAAUUUUACCUAUCGUUAAUAGCACCAGUUACUAUUAAAUAAGCAUUACAAAAUCAAAGGCACCAGGAAUUUUUAUAUAUUUAGUUCAAUUCUAUUACAAAUGCAGCCACCUACUUAGCCCCCUUCUAAUGUCUAAUUAUCAUAUUGCUAAGGUUAAGAAUAAUACCCAUACACUUAAAUCUUAGCCAGUUGUUUACAAAUUUUAGAACUUCAUACUACAUUUCUUCCCCAAAAGCUAUACUUUGAAGCCCUGAUUUACUUUUUACUUACGCUUCAUACUACUUCUUCCCCAAAAGGCUAGAAUCAACGCCCGUGAAUUACUUUUUUCUUGAGCUUCUUCAGAAUUGCAUCAAGUUUGGCCUUUUCAUUCUCUUUAUCCCUUUAUAAUCACACCAACAACGACCACCAACAACCAAAAAAAUGGCACAACAACAACAACCACCAACAACCAAAAAAAUGGCACAACAACAACGACACCAACAAUAGAAAAAAUGGCACAAAAAUCGCCCAACAAAACCGCACAUAAAUCGCACAAAAAAAUGGUAAAAUGACGAAAAAAAUCAAACAAUAAUAAUCAAGAGUAGCGCUGAAAUUACUUAAUAUCGCUGAAAUUCGAACACUAAAAUCGCUGAAAUUCCAGCCUAAAAUCGUUGAAGUUUGAACCCUUAAAUCGCCAAACUUUGAACCCUAAAAUUGCCGAAAAUAAAUGAAAAUCAAAGUAUGAAAAAUGAAAAAUCGAAUUUAACUCAUGCGAAAUUCAUGAAAAUCAAAUCAUCAAAUCGCAAAAAUCAAAUCACAAAAAUAGCAAAAAAUAAAAUCGCAAAAAAAAUCAAAUCGAAAAAUCGCAAAAUCUACUUGAACAUCAUGCGUUUUUCAUGAAAAUUUGAAAAAAAAAGAAUCGUACUUGAUUUGAGUAAUUAGGUUGUUUAUGCGAAAUUUGAACAAAAACUCUUCAAUUUGUAGCAAUUUGUGUUCAAUUUUGGAAUUUGAGGAGAGAGAAAGACAAGAGGUUUGAAAGUUUGAGGAGAUAGAGAUGUUGAAUGUGAAAGCCAAGAAGAAUAGCAAAGAGAGAAGGAAGUGUAAUUCAAGAAAUUACGAAAAUGCCAUUAUUAUGCCUUUUUUGGAUGGUUAGAUUUAAUUUGAUCAAUGGUCUAGAUUUGUUCUCAUAUAGAUUAGAGUUUUCACAUAAGGGAUGUGUUCUCACCUGAUCUCAUUCUAUAUAAUAUAUAUAUUAUUGAGAUCAUGUAAGAACCUAGGUUUAUAAUAGGAACUAGGAACUCAUCUAUACUGUUGAUUGCGCUCAAUCUAAUGACUCAUAUUCCACCCGCCUCAUUAAGGGCAAAAUGGUAAAUUCGCGCUUUGAAUGACUGGCUUCAAUUAGUCUGAUUUUUAUUUUUACUUUCUCUCUUCGUUUCAUUUUCUUUCUCUUCCUUCGAAUUUUUCUGCGCUCUUGUCGUCGUUGGAUUUGCUUUUCUUCUUCGCCUUUUUUCAUUGCAAAUUGAUACCGGACAAGGCUUUCAUCUUUUGGUUGAUACGGUCUCUUCUUCGCCGUGAUAUUAUUUUUUUGAACAAGUAGAAUCAGUCAUAUCAGGUAUGUUAUUUCUGAAUUUAGUCCAAAUAAGAUAACUACUUUUGUGCAUGUUCUAGAAAAGUUAUUAUCUUUUGAAGUUGUUAUCAAAAUUGCUUGUAGGUAAUGAAGAAUUUGAUUAUUAAUAAAUUUACCCUUUCAGACUGAUUAUGAACAGUAGUUGCCCUUCCUUUUCUUAUUGUGUAUGAUUGACCUGUUUCUCCAUUUGUUUCUCGCUCUUCUUCUUGGAUUUCCUGUUACAAGUGUUAAAACAUAUAACUAUAAGUUUUCGUGCUGAUACUGUUAGAAAAAAGAGGGGGCAUGCUCUAGAUCAAUCUUGUGGCCUAGCCAGUGAUGGAGAAGAAGAGAUUCUUGUAGGAAUUAAGCUCCAUGAGAUUUUAUUUUAUGUCAUAAUAUUGUACCAACAGAGAAAGAUAUUGGACAAAUGGGGAAUUCUACAGAAUUUCAGUCUUUAA